rnacentral:lncRNA from 1 species
CAUGGUGGCGUCGUGGAUUCGGCGUAUUUGACGGCGGUUCGUGGAUUCGGAUCGUGGGCUCGUGGAUUCGAGUGGCGUCGUGGAUUCGGCGUGAUUAAAGAUUCGUGGAUUCGAAGUGGAGGCGUUCGUGGAUUCGGACGUGAGGGCGUGGACAACCCGGAAGGUAGCGCGAAGAUUCAUAGGAGGUUAAGAGAGGUUAAGUCCGUGGAGUCGGU